CGGUAAUACCAGCUCUCCGAGUGGUGUGGAUGUUUAUUGGGCCUAAAGCAUCCGUAGCUGGCCAAGCAAGUCCCCUGUUAAAUCCACCGAAUUAAUCGUUGGUGUGCGGGGGAUACUGCUCGGCUUGGGGACGAGAGAGGCCGACGGUAUUUUCGGGGUAGGGGUGAAAUCCUAUAAUCCCGAGAAGACCACCAGUGGCGAAGGCUGUCGG
rnacentral:rRNA from 1 species